rnacentral:rRNA from 1 species
CCCGAAAGAUCGAUGAGAGAUUCAUCGUCAGCGUGGUUAGUUUCCAUGCGUUUUCGCGAUGCCACGCCAUUCGCUGUGGUAUAUCUGAUUACGUCGGCGUGCACUUCUCCUCUAGUAGAACGUUGCGACCCGCUGGGUGUUGGCUUAAGGACCAAGCUGUAGACUGUUUUUGUUCGUUUACGCGUACAUUGGCAGACACUUGUGUUUCUGGCUGACUGCUUGGCGGUACACACAAGGUAUUGAGCCGCACUUUUGAAUGCGUUCAGACUCGUUUACAAGCUAAUUAUUGAAUAACUUGGGGGUGCGGACCUAGUGCCGUCCUUAAGGGUAGUUGGCUGUUAGUUUACGAUGUUCUCGAACUGGCUAAAUACCGGUCAGCGGACGCUAUUGCUUUGGGUACUCUCAGGA